CUCCGGGUGAUCCCGCCGGACCUGACUGCUAUCGGAUUGGUACUAAGCCAUGCGAGUCGUUGUAGCAAUACAAGGCGGACGGCUCAGUAACACGUAGUCAACCUAACCUAUGGACGUGGAUAACCUCGGGAAACUGAGAAUAAACCGCGAUAGAUCAUUAUGCCUGGAAUGGCUUAUGGUUCAAACAAUUUAUUGCCGUAGGAUGGGACUGCGGCCUAUCAGCUUGUUGGUGAGGUAAUGGCCCACCAAGGCUAUAACAGGUACGGGCUCUGAGAGGAGAAGCCCGGAGAUGGGUACUGAGACACGGACCCAGGCCCUAUGGGGCGCAGCAGGCGAGAAACCUUAGCAAUGUGCGAAAGCACGACUAGGUUAAUCCGAGUGAUUUCUGUUGAAGAAAUCUUUUGUCAGUCGUAAAACCACAGACGAAUAAGGGGUGGGCAAGUCUGGUGUCAGCCGCCGCGGUAAUACCAGCACCUCGAGUGGUCAGGAGGUUUAUUGGGCCUAAAGCAUCCGUAGCCGGCUACGCAAGUCUCCGGUUAAAUCCAGCUGCUCAACAGAUGGGCUGCCGGAGAUACUACAUAGCUAGGGAGCGGGAGAGGUAGACGGUAUUCUGUGGGUAGGGGUAAAAUCCACUGAUCCAUAGAGGACCACCAGUGGCGAAGGCGGUCUACCAGAACGCGUUCGACGGUGAGGGAUGAAAGCUGGGGGAGCAAACCGGAUUAGAUACCCGGGUAGUCCCAGCUGUAAACGAUGCAAACUCGGUGAUGCAUUGGCUUAUGGCCAAUGCAGUGCCGCAGGGAAGCCGUUAAGUUUGCCGCCUGGGAAGUACGGACGCAAGUCUGAAACUUAAAGGAAUUGGCGGGGGAGCA
rnacentral:rRNA from 1 species